GCCAUCAGGUAAGGGCUGGGAACUCUGGGAGACUGCCGGUGAUAAACCGGAGGAAAGGCGGGGGAUGACGUCAAGUCCUCAUGGCCCUUACAUCCCGGGGCUACACACGUGCUACAAUGGCAGGUACAGAGGGCUGCGAAGCCGCGAGGUGGAGCGAAUCCCAGAAAACCUGUCUCAGUCCGGAUUGAAGUCUGCAACUCGACUUCAUGAAGGCGGAAUCGCUAGUAACCGCGAAUCAGCAGGUCGCGGUGAAUACGUUCCCGGGCCUU
rnacentral:rRNA from 1 species